GACGAACGCUGGCGGCGUGCCUAAUACAUGCAAGUCGAACGCAGUGGGGACGGGUGAGUAACACGUGGGUAACCUCCCAUCAGAGGGGAUAACACUUGGAAACAGGUGCUAAACCGAUACUGAUUGAUGUACCCGCGGUGCAUUAGCUAGUGGGUGAGGUAACGGCUCACCAAGGCCACGAUGCAUAGGCGACCUGAGAGGGUGAGCGGCCACACUGGGACUGUGACAAGUCCCAGACUCCUACGGGAGGCAGCAGUAGGGAAUCUUCGGCAAGGGACGAAAGGCUGACCGAGCAACGCAGCGUGAAUGAAGAAGGUUUGCGGAUCGUAAAAGUCUGUUGUUAGAGAAGCGGUAUCUAACCAGAAAGCCACGGCUAACUACGUGCCAGCAGCCGCGGUAAUUC
rnacentral:rRNA from 1 species